AAUAACCAAAUAUGAUACUCGAGAUAAGGAUCAAGUUUGUAAUUUUUUUUACAUCCCCUCUCCCAGAUCCCAUGUAUCAUAUACACCCU
rnacentral:ncRNA from 1 species